ensembl:lncRNA LINC02609 long intergenic non-protein coding RNA 2609
GGCCGCGGACCCUGGAUGGUGGCGUCGCCCGAAGACGCGCCUCACCGGCCUGGGUGGGGUUGCCUUUUGCCCUCGAGGCUGGCCUAAGCGCUGGGGGGCCGCUGGCUAACCCUGAGGUAGAUACUCGGGAAAUGGGUGGAAUAGGGAAAGGGACUCAGCCCUUCCGCCCUUUUCCCCAGUCGAGGCCCGCGUCACUGCCCUGUGGGUGCAGACGCCUCCAGUGUCACUCCCCUGGAUUUCGCUUGGGCAGAAGAAGAGAUUGUAGGCCGGACCCCAACGCCGAAGCCCUGAGGUGAGAGGGGACGGGGAGUCUCCGCUGCGACUGGCGGCCCCUCCCUCAGGCACCUUCUCCUAACAUUUCUGACUAAACGCCCCCAGGGGCGAAAACCGCUCCUCCUCCCCAGUUCCUGCGCUCGGUGGCCUGGGGCUCGGGGUUUGGGGGUUGCUCCUCGUCUGCCUCGAGGCCACUCGCUCGCGCUCGAGGGUCCUCUCCCGGCCAGCCCCGUGGGCUCGCCCCUCUCAGCCUCCUGCUGGACGUUGUCUGAGCUCCUCGCGGGCGCCGCUUGAAAGUGGGCCCAACCCGUGGGGGCGCCGGGCUGGUCUAGGCUCUGCCCUGGGGCUUCUGCGGCCUGGAGCUGAGGAGCCGGGGCCUUCGCGCCUCUCGGCGCCGGCUCCUCGCGUUGCUCGAAAGCCCGUCUGAGUAAUAGUCAACUGUUUUUGUCACUUUCUUAAGAUGCAUCAUCCCUGGUCUCUCUUGUUUCAUUACGAAAAAUCCCAGAGAAACCACCCGGCAGGAUCAAUCAGACGCAGGCAGCCAGACAGUUUUCUUGUACUUUAUUAAAGUGUAAUCAAACAUCGGUUAAGUGGAAAAUAAAUAUCCAGAUCUAAUAAGCUGCUCAGUCAGAUCGUGUAAAUGCAAAUUACAAGCUGGUUCCCAUCUUCCCGCCAGGGGAUUGAACAAGCCACAGCAAUUGCUUCAUCCACUGCGAUUGUAAAUCAACUAAAAUAAUGGCUGGAUAAUGACCAGUUUGCGGUUUCAAGCAGAUUGAAUGAUAACAAACUGCGUGUGUCGCACCAGCUUUUCAUUUAGCAUCUCAUCAUGGAGCGAGCAGCCCGCCUAACAGCUUGGCUCCCUCAUUAGGUUGUUGUCUGCAGCUUGUAAAUUCACACUGCAGCCAGCAGAUUACCUGACAAACUUCUUGAUAGGAAAAGCUAGACAAUUCAAUCCGGCCCAUCAAUCCCUCCCUGCGAAGGCAGGCACAUUGAUCUAUUGCUGAGCGCUGCGGCGAAUUGAUAACAAUAUGAUGCCUCCUAAUGUGGUGGAGGAAAUAUGUACGCAUGUAUACAUGCAGAAAUAUAUAGGGAAGCACACUCAUGG